AUAUGGAGGGGGUUAGCGUUGUUCGGAAUUACUGGGCGUAAAGCGCACGUAGGCGGACUGGAAAGUUGGGGGUGAAAUCCCGGGGCUCAACCCCGGAACUGCCUCCAAAACUUCCAAUCUAGAGAUCGAGAGAGGUGAGUGGAAUUCCAAGUGUAGAGGUGAAAUUCGUAGAUAUUUGGAGGAACACCAGUGGCGAAGGCGGCUCACUGGCUCGAUACUGACGCUGAGGUGCGAAAGCUAGGGGAGCAAACGGGAUUAGAUGCCCGAGUAGUCC
rnacentral:rRNA from 1 species